GAUGAACGCUGGCGGCGUGCCUAAUACAUGCAAGUCGAGCGAACAGACGAGGAGCUUGCUCCUCUGACGUUAGCGGCGGACGGGUGAGUAACACGUGGAUAACCUACCUAUAAGACUGGGAUAACUUCGGGAAACCGGAGCUAAUACCGGAUAAUAUAUUGAACCGCAUGGUUCAAUAGUGAAAGACGGUUUUGCUGUCACUUAUAGAUGGAUCCGCGCCGCAUUAGCUAGUUGGUAAGGUAACGGCUUACCAAGGCAACGAUGCGUAGCCGACCUGAGAGGGUGAUCGGCCACACUGGAACUGAGACACGGUCCAGACUCCUACGGGAGGCAGCAGUAGGGAAUCUUCCGCAAUGGGCGAAAGCCUGACGGAGCAACGCCGCGUGAGUGAUGAAGGUCUUCGGAUCGUAAAACUCUGUUAUUAGGGAAGAACAAAUGUGUAAGUAACUAUGCACGACUUGACGGUACCUAAUCAGAAAGCCACGGCUAACUACGUG
rnacentral:rRNA from 1 species